UACGUAGGGAGCAAGCGUUGUCCGGAAUCAUUGGGCGUAAAGCGCGCGUAGGUGGCCCCGUAAGUCCGCUGUGAAAGUCAAAGGCUCAACCUUUGAAACUCGGUGGAUACUGUGGGGCUAGAGUACGGAAGAGGCGAGUGGAAUUCCUGGUGUAGCGGUGGAAUGCGCAGAUAUCAGGAGGAACACCAAUAGCGAAGGCAGCUCGCUGGGACGUACUGACACUGAGGCGCGAAAGCGUGGGGAGCGAACAGG
rnacentral:rRNA from 1 species